GUGUAGAGAUCAUGGUAAAGGCGAGGAGUCAGUUCAAGGAGCGCAGCACAGCUACAAAUGUGGAGAUUGAGCUGCCUGUACCUGCAGAUGCAACAACCCCCAAUAUAAGGACUUCCAUGGGUUCUGCAGCAUACGCACCUGAAAAUGA